rnacentral:lncRNA from 1 species
AUGGAGACUGACAGGGCAUUAAGAGGCCAUGUUUUAAGCUGUUUUUGCUUCCAACUUUAUGGGAUACUGUCUCUUGUUAGGGUAAGUGACUUCUGGCUUAAGGCUAAUUUUUACAUGUUGGGCAUUUAUAGUCUUCCCAGGGGUUCCAUUGUCCCAGACUUCAGAGUUUACUGUGUGAAGAAUAUGGCUGGGAUCAGGCCCUUGGUCUUCCAGCUGAUUUGUCUUAGAGUCAAGAAAAGGCACAGCUCAGGGUGUCCAAACUUUAAUAUGGCCACACAGGAGACCAGACAGUCUCUCCCCAGUGGUUGGGUAGGACACUCAGGCACAAUAAAAGGCAUGUAAGGUCAAAUGCUGUUCAGAUUGGCAAGUGAGAGGCCCAGUGAAGAAACCAAUGUGAGGUUUUCUGUCGAUACCAGUCACAGUACAGCUUUUGCAGGAAAGAGGCCCAGUGUGAGAGAUCAGACAGAUGUCCCCUUUAUCAAUUUGAAAAUUGAUAUUCUUACUUGCAUGUCAGAGACCACUUGGGCUCUUUGAUGUAGUUAGAUAUCUCAUUCAGGGAGCCUCCAGAAUCCCUGGGCCACCUCAGUUGUCCAGCAUGGCCAUCUGGGGAGCAGGAACCCACCUGUCUUCCCAUCUCCAAUGACCUGUUCGUUUGCAGGCUAGGCAUGGACGUGAGGGUUCUUUUUCACACUUUUGGGCUGGUUGACUUAUAUUUGAAGCAUUCCCCCUUGCUGGUUUUACCUCCAGGUGAUGGUUAAGAUUCCUUGGCCCACUUGGGUUGUCCUGAGGUUGCAAGGCAUUGCUGACAGCUGUCGUCAUAGCUUGAGCCCUGGUCUGCCUGUUUUUGUGUCAGGAUCUCUCUUCCUCCUCAGCUUGAUCUCGAUUAUUAAAUACCCCAAUUCCACCUCUAGGAGUUGGGACAUCAGGGUUUGUGGGCCUAAUUGUAACUUUUGGAGUUUCUGACUCAUUGGUGGCAGACUGGCUGAUGACGUGUUGUCGCGGCAGAGACUGACGCUCUACAGUGGAGGGUUCAACGUUAGUAAAUUUUCUACAAGCCUCCACAAGAUGUCCCUAGAAGAGGGCUGGGUUUUCAUUUUCUUCUUGGGUUACUCCAUUAACCUUUUCAUAGUUAACUGGCUUUUUGUUAGAUUUUCUCAUCCGUUCUAAUAACACAGUGGAUGACGUGUUUCAUGGCUUCUGAUCCCUCUCAGGAAUGAUAAUAACAACAGGGCUCCUGACUUGGGGUUGCAUCUUCACCCAUAACAAAAUAUUCAGUUUGGUCAAGCUGGUCACUGUUUCCCUGGGCUGCUGCCCAAAUUCUCUGUUUUGUCCUCAGGUUUGAACAUCCUUCCAAGUCACGUCAAAGGCCAGAGUUAGGGCCUGAAAAUCUGCAGCAAACUUACUAGUGUCUUUGAUAAACUGGCCCAGUCUUUGUUUGCACUGGGCUAACUCAGUUAAAGAGAAGGGCACGUGUACUGUGACUGUCCUGUCACCACUUGCCACUUCCCUUUGAGGGUAUAUUUUCUCUGAUCCUGAGUGAUAGGAAGUUUGACUACCAGUUACCCUGGGGCUCUAGUCUCUCUCCUGGGAUGACAAAGGGAAUAUGGAAAUAGGGAGGUGAGUUUGGGAUUGGUCAGAGGGAACUAGGAAACUUGGUGGCUCUGGAGAAGCAGGGGAGACUUGCUUUCACCCCUGAAAAUUAGGGGAAGUUAAAAAGGCAAUCAUCUAAAAUGUCGGGAGUGCUUUUCCCAGGCUUUUGAUUGCAGGAGCCCAGUAGAGCAGGGUUUGGGUAAAGAAACAUGAAGGCUUGAGCAUUCCCAUAUUGCAAUAGUGAAGCUCCAGUUGCAAGAUGGUUUUGCAAUUUAGAGACUCAUUUUCAGGCCAUUUUUUUCUAUCCCCCCAACUUAUAUAAAAGCCAAGUAGUGUUACAGUAGAAUUUGUUUUUCCUGUUCAGCUUGUCUGUNNNNNNNNNNNNNNNNNNNNNNNNNNNNNNNNNNNNNNNNNNNNNNNNNNNNNNNNNNNNNNNNNNNNNNNNNNNNNNNNNNNNNNNNNNNNNNNNNNNCCUUCCAGUGAAUAUUCAGGACUGAUUUCCUUUAGGAUUGACUGGUUGGAGCUGGAUUUGGGGUAAUAGGAAUUUCCACUACGGGUUACCCCAGAGGGAUUACUGUCUCCUUCCUAGGGUAAUGGGAUAUAAAUGAACAUAGGGAGGUGGAGUGUGGGAUUGGUUAGAGGUAUCUGGAGAAGUAGGUGCCUCUGAAGAAAUAGGUGGCUCCAGAGAAGAAGGGGAAACUUGGUUUCACCCUGAAAGUUGAGGCAGGUUAAAAGGGAAUCAUCUAAAAUGUCGGGAGUGUUUUCUGAUUCCCCAGGCCACAUGGAGCAGGGUUUUGGUAAAGGACCAUGAAGACUUGGCUAUAUGGAACUUCAGUCCAUUUCCCCAUCUUGUGACGACAGUAAAGAUCCAAUUGCAAGGCAGUAUUGUAAUUUAGAGACCCAUUUUCAGGCCAUUUUUCUCUGUCCCACCAACUUAACAGGCAGUGUUAUGGCAGAGUUUAAGUUUUCCCCUUUUCAGCACAUUUAUUUUUUUUCAUUUCCAGUUUUUAAAGAUACAUUCCAGAGGUGUUUCUUCUGGCUUAGAAGAGGAUCCUCCCAUACUGAGUAACCUGCAACUGAGAGCACUCCUGGAAAUGACGCUCAGAGACAUUUAUUAGGAUCUUUCUGUCUAAAGGGGAUCAGAGUGUCCUCUGAAUUCCCCUUACCUAAUGGGAUUCUGA